GUGAUGAAGGCCAUGAAGACUCCUAAAACUUUGAAUGGAGUGGAGCAUAUCACAGCUGUCUUCAGAGCCCUUCCACUGCUCUUUCCGUCCAGCACUUUGCCACCGAAGAAACUGGGCUCAAGCAGCGAGGCUCUUUUCCAUGUCUUAGCGACUUCUGAGGAUCCUAAUGGUUUCAUG